CCUACGGGUGGCAGCAGUGGGGGAUAUUGCACAAUGGGGGAAACUCUGAUGCAGCGACGCCGCGUGAGGGAAGACGGUCUUCGGAUUGUAAACCUCUGUCUUUGGGGGAGCAAAUGAAGGUGCUCAAAGCGGAAGCGGCGGAAAAGUACUUGCCACAAGCCGCGGUAAUACGUAGGGAGAGAGAGUAGUCCGGAAUUGCGGGUUGUAAAGGGCCGGUGGGCGGGCGAGAAAGCUGAUGGUAAAAUCUACCGGCUAAACUGCGAGCUGCGUUCGAAACUUCGUGUCUUGAGUGAAGUAGAGGCAGGCGGAAUUCCUGGUGUAGCGGUGAAAUGCGUAGAUAUCAGGAGGAACACCCGUGGCGAAGGCGGCCUGCUGGGCUUUAACUGACGCUGAGGCUCGAAAGCGUGGGGAGCAAACAGGAUUAGAUACCCUUGUAGUC
rnacentral:rRNA from 1 species